AGGUUUUUGAACUGACAAUUGCUACCUGGCAUCUGGGGGUAUCUGGGUCCUGGUCUUGUUCAAGCUAAGGGAAGGAGAACUGCUUCUGAGAGCUUUUCUGACCGCAAGCCUUUGGUGAACAAAGGACAAUGCUUCAACCAUUCCCUGAGAUUCCUGGUCAGCAGGGGAGCAGUCUUGGAGAAGAUCUGGUUAUCCCUACUAUCUGCCAUGAUGACCUUCACAGCCUUUUAAUGGCUGCCCUCUGGCGGUGACUUGUUGACGCUACACAUCUCCUACAAACAGAAUCUCUGCGAAAACAUGACAAUCAGCUUGGCCUGGAUAAGGUUACCUGGAGUUACUGGGAAAAGGAAAUGCAUGCUAUACAAUUUGUUGUCUCUCCUGUUCAUUGAAAAUAAGAUUCACUGUGUUGCUUGGGGGCGGUUUAUGUUUAUCUGCGGUUAAUUUUUGUCUUUGUAAAUUUUAUGUCGGCAGCUAAUAACACUGAACUAUCAUUUUAUUUUCAAUGGUUUCAAGAGGUGUGUGUGCAUGUGUGUAAGCAUGUGUAUAUGUGUGCAUAUGUCUGUGUGUUUGUAUUGUAUGUGUGUUUGUAGGAUAAUUAGUGAAUGAGUAGAAAAGUUGUUUUAAUUUUAAAAUGUUUAAUUUUUAUUGUCCUGCAAAACACACUUCCAUAUUGGUCAUUGUUGUAGGAGCACAAAGAGUAGACAUUUUCAACAAUUGAAGUGACAAUGGGCUUACCAUCACUGAAACUUUUUCUUUAAAACUCACUUUCCAUCUUAAAAUCAAUACAGUGCUUUGGUUCCAAGAUAAAAGAGUGGUAAAAAGGCUAGGCAAUGGGGAUUAAUGUGUCAUUUGUUAAAAAAAACAAAACCAAACUUUAAUCUACACACAAUUUGGAGACAGAAUUUUCUAACUUGCUUAAAAAUAUCCCAAAUGAAGAGUGUGGAAAAGUUUAGAACCCUCUUGUUAAAAAUAGAAAACUAAUUUUAGGAAUUAGUGGGAAAUAAAGUUAGGCAAUAGGACUACCUUAUGGGGAGUGGAAGUAUCUUGAAAGCCAGUUAGAAGAAUGUGAUCAGAAAUAGGGGCUAGGCAAAGCUGGGUAGCAUAGUGUAUAGAGUGCCAGACUUGGAUUCAGAAAGACUUGGGUUCCAGUCUGACUUCAGAGAGUUCCUAGUUGUGUGACCCUGGACAAGUCACUUAACAGCCAUUGCCAACUCAUUGCUGCUCUUCCAUCUUGGAACUGAUACUAGGACAGAGGGUGAGGGUUUAAAAAAAGAAAAGAAAAAGAAAAAAGGAAUCAUCUGUAGGUUCUUAGGCAGUGGAAUGGUCAUUAUGAAAACUUUUUUUAGGAUAUUAAUUUAGCAACCAUGUACAACAUGAAUUAGAGGGGAGUCUGGAGGCAGGAAGGUUAAGUAGGAGAGUUUUGCCAUACUCUACAUGUGAGUUGAUGAAAGACUGGAUUAGGAUGACGGCAAUGGGACUGAAGAGGAAGAGGCAGAUCCAGGAAAUAUUUUCAAAGGAAAAAAAAUGAAAGUAUUUGAUAACAGUUACUUAUGAAACUCUGGCUUUGGGAAAUAUCCUUCACAGGAGAUCAAAAGUAUGAUAUCACAUAUUCCCAUCUUCACUUUAAUUCUGGUAUUACACAGACUUUAUGACUUCAGUUAUAGUAUUAGGAAUCAAACAUUUUUUAUUUCCUUUACUUCUAGCAGAAUAUAAUAAAAAUGAGAAAAGAGAAAUUUCAGACAGAGAAGCAUUCAAAAUUGUGCAUAUAUACUUUGUAAAUUCUUGUAUAAAUCUGAUUAGAGACAGCCCAGACAAGUCAUCAAUAAUUCAAUCCAUAACUAUUUUAGCAGGACUGAUUCCUAAUGUGGAAGAAGGAGUAAGUAAUAUGUUGAAUGUUGAGCAGACUGGGAAUUCUUAUUGGCCAAUCUCUUCCAAUCAUCCAAAUGAAGGCACCCUUCUUGGUUUGUAACAUUUGCUUGCUGGAGAUGAUAUAUAGAUCUGCAUGUAUAUAUGUGUGUGUGUGUGUGUGUGUGUGUAUAUAUAUAAAUAUGAGGAGAGAGAGAGAAAGAGAGAGCGAGCACACUAUAUUAAGUGUAACAAGAACCAUUUUGCCAGGAACUUUCCUUAGUGCUGGAGAUACAAAUACAAGCAAGAAAGAUAGCCCCUGCUGUCAAGGAGCUUACAUUCUAAUAGGGCAAGAUAAAACAUAAAGAAAUGUUGGAAAGUUGGGAAAUAUGGCACAAAGAUGACAUUGUUAGGAGAUGGCAGAGAAGUGGCAUGGAAGAUUGGUUCUGGGCCAAAAAAAAAAGGAUGAAUGCUCAAGAUCUGGUUAGAAGAAGAAGAGAAAAGUAGAUGGCAUGGAGUAUAAAUGAUGAUAAGAAACAAUUGUAACUCAGAUAAAUUUACAAUCGGGUGAAUUUUAGAUUUACUCCACUCUGCUUAGUCUUUAGAAUUUUAGCAACCAGGAAUGUAUACACCCCCACUUGAGGAUUAAGAGUGGGGGAGGAAGGUCUGUGACCUGCCUGUGCUAGCAAGUGACAAAUCUGAGACGACUGACUGACCCCCUCGUCUGUCCUAAGCCAAAUUUAAGCCACCAUUGGUACAUGUGAGAUACAGGAAGUGAUGUAAAGAACUGCCUUUAUAUUUCACAUCACUUCCUGUGAGAGGGACUUUUGUGGCUUUGGCGGAGUUGGGUGGAAAAACUUGACUUGGAGGAGCUCUGAAGCAUGGUUUCCUUAGGUGACUGUGUGGUAAGUGUUAAGGCUGACUUCUCCUUCCCUUGACCCUUCUAAAGGUUCCAAUCUCCAAGGAGGCCCCUCAUUUUGGAGGAGGCCUCCUAGUUGGAAACCAAGCUAGAUUUAAUCUUCUGGGAAGGUCUCUUGGCUGAGAGGCCUCUGAACUCUCUCUGGUUCAGGCCAGGCCAGAGUAGAUCUUUACCCCUUUCCCUCUUUCUCCUUCUUCUUCAUUUCUUCCUUCUUUUGUAAAUAAACCACCAUGAAAUUCCA